rnacentral:rRNA from 1 species
GAUGAACGCUGGCGGCGUGCCUAAUACAUGCAAGUCGAGCGAACGGACGAGAAGCUUGCUUCUCUGAUGUUAGCGGCGGACGGGUGAGUAACACGUGGAUAACCUACCUAUAAGACUGGGAUAACUUCGGGAAACCGUAGCUAAUACCGGAUAAUAUUUUGAACCGCAUGGUUCAAAAGUGAAAGACGGUCUUGCUGUCACUUAUAGAUGGAUCCGCGCUGCAUUAGCUAGUUGGUAGGGUAACGGCUUACCAAGGCAACGAUGCAUAGCCGACCUGAGAGGGUGAUCGGCCACACUGGAACUGAGACACGGUCCAGACUCCUACGGGAGGCAGCAGUAGGGAAUCUUCCGCAAUGGGCGAAAGCCUGACGGAGCCACGCCGCGUGAGUGAUGAAGGUCUUCGGAUCGUAAAACUCUGUUAUUAGGGAAGAACAUAUGUGUAAGUAACUGUGCACAUCUUGACGGUACCUAAUCAGAAAGCCACGGCUAACUACGUG